rnacentral:rRNA from 1 species
GACGAACGCUGGCGGCGUGCUUAACACAUGCAAGUCGAACGCUGAAGACCUGGCUUUUGUUGGGUUGGAUGAGUGGCGAACGGGUGAGUAACACGUGAGUAACCUGCCCUCUUCUUUGGGAUAACGCCCGGAAACGGGUGCUAAUACUGGAUAUUCACUGAUCUUCGCAUGGGGGUUGGUGGAAAGGUUUUUUCUGGUGGGGUAUGGGCUCGCGGCCUAUCAGCUUGUUGGUGGGGUGAUGGCCUACCAAGGCUUUGACGGGUAGCCGGCCUGAGAGGGUGACCGGUCACAUUGGGACUGAGAUACGGCCCAGACUCCUACGGGAGGCAGCAGUGGGGAAUAUUGCACAAUGGGCGAAAGCCUGAUGCAGCGACGCGGCGUGAGGGAUGGAGGCCUUCGGGUUGUAAACCUCUUUCGCUAAUGGUCAAGCCGCAACUGUGGGUUGUGGUGAGGGUAGUGGGUAAAGAAGCGCCGGCUAACUACGUG